GCUUCCGUGGCGCAAUGGUAGCGCGUCAGACUUCUAAUCUGAAGGUUGCGGGUUCGAGUCCCGCCGGAAGUG
rnacentral:tRNA from 14 species